rnacentral:rRNA from 1 species
CACCUCUGGCAUUAACAGUAUCAGAGGCACUGCCUGCCCAGUGACAUAAGUUAAACGGCCGCGGUAUCCUGACCGUGCAAAGGUAGCAUAAUCAUUUGUUCUCUAAUUAAGGACUUGUAUGAAAGGCCACACGAGGGUUUAACUGUCUCUUACUUUUAAUCAGUGAAAUUGACCUUCCCGUGAAGAGGCGGGAAUAAAACAAUAAGACGAGAAGACCCUAUGGAGCUUCAAUUAAUUAACUCAAGAAAGAAUCACCUUCCUCCCCGACAGGCAACAACAUAACUGUAACUGAGUUAACAAUUUCGGUUGGGGUGACCUCGGAGUACAGACCAACCUCCGAGAGAUUUCAGUCUAGACUUACAAGUCAAAACCUGCAAAAAAUCACAAUUGAUCCAAUAAAUUUUGAUCAACGGAACAAGUUACCCUAGGGAUAACAGCGCAAUCCUAUUUAAGAGUCCAUAUCGACAAUAGGGUUUACGACCUCGAUGUUGGAUCAGGACAUCCCAAUGGUGCAGCCGCUAUUAAU